GUGAAUCAUCGAAUCUUUGAACGCACAUUGCGCCCCUUGGUAUUCCGAGGGGCAUGCCUGUUCGAGCGUCAUUUCAACCCCUCAAGCUCUGCUUGGUGUUGGGCCGCGCAGCUGCUCCGGCGGCGGGCCCUAAAAUCAGUUGGCGGUGCCGUCGCGGCUCCAAGCGUAGUAGCAAACCUCUCGCUCUGGAGACCCGGCGGUUGCUUGCCAGACAACCCCCCCCCAGAAUUUUAUUCUCUCACGGUUGACCUCGGAUCAGGUAGGGAUACCCGCUGAACUUAAGCAUAUCAAUAAGCGGAGGA
rnacentral:misc_RNA from 1 species